CGACUCUCCAUUUUUUAAAGGAUUCUUUGGUAGAAAGAGAGAUCACAAAAAAGGGUAUGCUGCUGUCAUUUUGAGAGGAUUAAGAAGCACCGAAGUAAUGUCUAAACCCAAUGAUUUAAAACAAAGAUAAAGGAUCCCAAAAAAAGGAAACACCCUUUUAAUUGUCUCGAUAGUCUCAACAACCAGAUCAGACUGAAGAAUCAAAAUAGAAGUUUAAACUAGACAAACAAAAGGGGGUAAAGACUACUCAAUAAAUGAAAUUUAUUAAAGAUUUUUUUCCUUUAAGCUAUUUGAGAGAUAUCCAACUUGAGUUAUGAAUAAGAUUUUAUUUUAUUUUUUUCCAUUUUUGGGAAGGAAGAAGGAAAAAAAGACUUAAAUCAUAGUCUAAUUGAUUUCAUAGGCCUAUUUGUCAUUUAUUAGAAUUCCGUACAUAAACAAAAUUUCGAAUCAAAUAAUUUUUUUCUCGAGCAGUACAAGGAGAAAAUUUUCUAUACAUUUCUGGGGGAAUAUUGUUCAUCUACAUCUAUCUAUCUGAAUGAGCCAUCUAUCGAAUCGUUGCAAUUGAUGUUCGAUCCCGAAGAGAUGGAAAAGAUCAUCGAAAAGUGGGGUUUUAUGAUCCAUUGAAGAAUCAAACUUAUUUAAAUGUUCCUACUAUUCUAUAUUUCCUUGAAAAGGGUGCUCAACCUAUAUGAGCUGUUCAAGAUAUUUUAAAGAAUGCAGAAGUUUUUAAGGAACUUCGACCUAAUCAAAAGAAAUUCAAUUACAGAAAUACCAAGGGAUAGUGAUUUGUGUAUAACUUUGUAUAACUUUUCUCUACUAUUUUUUUAUUUCCCCUUAAUCAUGCUUUAUUCGUAUCUAUUUCUUACUGCUUUUGUCAAAUUCCAUGGCCGAUAACAACAAAACCUUUAUUUAUUGAUCAUAUAAAUCUCAAAUUCGAACAUUUCAUUUCUUUCAGUUAUGUGGUUUUUGUUGGAAUUUGACUAAUCAACAAGGAGUCCAGUUUGUUUAUUCCACUUAGAUUGACAAAAUACAUUGAAAAUCCGAUAUUUUUUUUUCAAUUCUUAUUCUUCCAUCUACACUUUUUUGUAUCUAUGCAGAUUAGAUAUCUAGAGUAAAUCCUGGACAAUUUGGAAUAUUAUUUCAUUGUUAAGUUGAAUUUGUUUGAGCUUAAAUAAAAAAGGAUUUCAAUGAAUUUUCUUUUGUUUUUUUUCCAUUGUAUUCCUUUCUCAACACUUACAUUGACAACAGUGUAUCGAACAAAUAUAAUUCAAUGAAGUGGAUCUAUUUAUUUCCGUACCAUAGGUGAUUUUUUUUACUUUACCUCAUUCCUUUCUUUAAUAUUGAUACAAGAGGUUUUUUAAUUUUUAAAAAAAGAAGUAGAUAACAUAAGAGGUACUCUAUCAAUUUUGACGAUUCUCUCCCUCUCUCUAUAUAUUUUUUUCUUUAUCAGAUAAUUUAUUUUAUUUUGAUCUAAUCUAUUCAUUUUUAUGUUUCUAAUGCAUUAGAAUUUUUUUUAAAGACUUCUUUUCUCAAUUGUUUGAUUACCUCGUCUAAAUUUUUUUCUCAUUAUUUAAUUAAUAAUUAAUUUAGAUUGUAUCUUCACACCCUUUAAUUUGAAUAUUAAAUUAUGUUUAAAUUUUUUAUGUUUUCUUUGGGUUGCUAACUCAACAGCAGAGUACUCAGCUUUUAAGUGCGGCUAGAUACUUUUACACAUUUGG
rnacentral:lncRNA from 1 species